ACCUUGGGGGUUAUGAUUUUAACAUACGAAUUUUGGAACACAAGCCUUCAGUCUACAGCGAGUUCUCCCAGGUGUCCUCGAAGGGGAUCAGUGCAUAGGUGUUCACCUCAGUUUUUUGUGAUGCUGGACAAUCAGGGGUGAUCUAGGUAUUCAUUUUUAGGUGAAGCAAUAUAUUGCAUGAGGAGGAAGCUCGUGAAAUCCCGUGCAGCGUGGACAGACCUCCGUAAUAUCGUCCUGAACUUCCCAC